rnacentral:lncRNA from 1 species
UUUUUUAUAUAUAUAUUUACUUACUGUCGGUUGACAAAUUUUUUAUCCAAUCUCGGAAUGCUGUUUGACCUUUUUGUGUAUAUUGAUGUCUUUUCAGUCCGCUUUUUACUCGUUUUUAAACAGUAACCCUGUUCUACAGAAAACCAAGGAAAAAUCAUUCAUGAGAUGCAUUAGGGACGGCAUCAAAAGUUCAAUGUAGGAUAAAAAAAACUUAAUUGAUAUAGUUUUUACUGAACCCCCCCCC